GUUCAUGGAGGUUGUGGAGCCGAAAUAUGAUGUCCCCUCUCGAACCACAAUGGUGAGGACUGUGAUUCCGGAGGUGCACGACUCCGUUAAAAAACAUGUUAGCAGUUUGUUGUGUAACACUCCGGUCAUUAGCUUCACCACUGAUAUUUGGAGCAGCAGCGUGAGUGCUGUGUCUCUCAUCAGCCAGACAGCGCGUUGGAUAGAUGCUGAUUUCCAACUUCAUAGCAUCAUGCUGCACGCAAAAGAGUUCAGUGGCUCACACACAGGACAGGCGAUCGCAGAAAAGUUUGAGGAGAUGCUCAACACAUGGAAUAUUCCCAAAGAAGCCGUUCACGUUAUGCUAAGAGACAAUGCAAAGAACAUGAUUAAAGGUAUGGAUGAAGCUGAGCUUCCAAGCCUCCCGUGUGUCGCGCACACACUCCAGCUGACAGUGAAUGAAGGCCUGCUGGUUCAAAAGGCUGUUUCAGAUGCCGUGGCCAUAGGACGGAAAAUAGUCGGUCAUUUCCAAAAUUCCCCAUUGGCCUACUCGAAGCUUGAAGACAUCCAAACGGACAUGCACAAGCCUGUAAAAAGACUGGCACAGAACGUACCAACCCGCUGGAAUAGCACGCUGUAUAUGAUGCGCUCUCUCAUUGAACAAAAGCAAGCCAUAGGAGUUUAUGGGACAGAAAACAAGCUCCCCGAGAGCCUUAGUGUGAACCAGUGGAGUUUAUUCGAAAAGGCAAUCAAGCUUUUGGAACCCUUUGAGGAGCUGACCCGGCAGGUGAGCUCCACGGAUUCAUCAGCUGCAGAUGUGAUCCCUGCCAUCACCACGCUUCUUGAGGGUUUUAGAGGAGGAUUGUGAGGAGGACCGUGGGGUCGGAUCGAUGAAGCAUACCUUGCUACAGGUUGCUAGGAGGUGCUUUGCUGAUAUCGAGAGAAAUCCACUGUACAGCUUUGCCUCCAUACUCGAUCCAAGGUAAUAGUUUUUCUUACUAAUUCAAAUGUGAGAAAUUGUUUUAAUUAAAUUACUAUUAGAGUUGCCUAACCUUAAUAUUACUCAAGUAAAGUAAAAAAUAUUUUGCAUUAACUACUCUCAGUUAAAAGUACAACCACCUGAAUUGUGAUGUGACACCUGAAUCACUUAUGUGGAUGUGUAGACUUUCUCAUUUGUUCUCUUUUCUUCUCUCUUUUGUAGAUACAAGGAUUGUUAUUUCUCAGAUGAAAGCGCAGCAAGGGAGGCCAAAACGAUGCUUGUACAGGAGCUGCAGCAAACAUUUGCUGCAGAACCACAGGCAGAUGGAGAGGAACCACCUGCCCAAAAGCCACGGAGGGAGCAGCCCAGCAGCAGCAGCCGUCUCAACAGAAUGUCUGCUGAAAUAGCAGAGGGCCGUGCAUCAUCCUCACAUUGUACCGGGAGAAGUGCUCCAAUGAUCGCUGCUGCAAUGCAGCUGGAGACAUACCUUGCAGAACACUUACUCGAACGGGAUGCCAAUCCACUCAAGUACUGGGCAGAGGAGAGAGAAAAGUUUUCCUCUUUGGCCAAGUUAGCAAGAAAAUACCUCUCGACACCAUGCAGCAGCGUCGAGAGUGAACGGCUCUUUAGUUCAGUUGCUCACAUUCUCGAUGACACAAGAAAUAGGCUCUCAGCUGAAAAUACAGAGAUGCUUCUGUUCCUUAAUAAGAACCUGCCACUUACCUUUUCACCCUCAGAUAACAGUUAGACAAUGAAGCAACUUAAAGGUUUAAGCUUUGUUCAAAUUUUGUGCUUCAAUUUUGCACCUUAAAAUAAAACCCAGGAAGAGAAAGUUCAUUUUAUUUCAUUUAAAAACUGAAAACUCAGGGGUUGUUCUAUCUUUGACUUUAGUUCAUAAAAAAGCAUUAAAAUGAGAACAUUUAAAAACUUUAGUUCAUGUAAAGUGUAAAACUCAGAGAAAGCUUUUUGAUCUUGCACUUUAGUUCAUAAAAAACCUUAAAACUCAGAAAGUUGUUUUAUCUUGCACUUUAGUUCAUAAAAAACCUUAAAACUCAGAAAGUUGUUUUAUCUUGCACUUUAGUUCAUAAAAAAAACCUUAAAACUCACAGAAAGCUGUUUCAUCUUGCACUUAAGUUCAUUUAAAAAAACAUGACAAUGUGUUCAUUUAAAAAAGUGUAUAACUCAGAGGUGUUUGUUACAUCUUUUACUUCAUUUAAAAGAAACCUUAAAACUCAGAAAUUGAUUUAUCUUGCACUUAAUUUCAUUCAAAAAAGUGUAAAACUCAAAAGAGUUGCUUGUUUACAUCUUGUACUUCAGUUCAUCUUUUUAAAAAAAACCUUAAAACUCAGAGAAAUUGAUUUAUCUUGCACUUAAUUUCAUUUAAAAAAGUGUAAAACUCAAAAGAGUUGUUUUAUAUUUCACUUUUUUUAUAUAUCUGAAACUGAGACUGCUAUUAUUUUAGUAGUGGCUGUGCUGCCUUUUUUAGAAAUAAAAGUCAUUUUUCAAAAA